CCUACGGGUGGCAGCAGUGAGGCAUAUUGGUCAAUGGGCGAGAGCCUGAACCAGCCAAGUCGCGUGAGGGAGUACUGCCCUAUGGGUUGUAAACCUCUUUUGUCGGGGAGCAAAAGCCGGACGUGUCCGGCUGUGAGAGUACCCGAAGCAAAAGCAUCGGCUAACUCCGUGCCAUCCGCCGCGGUAAUACGGAGAAUGCGAGCGUUAUCCGGAUGUAUUGGGUUUAAAGGGUGCGCAGGCGGCUUUUUAAGUCAGCGGUCAAAGCGUGGGGCUCAAACCCAUCCAGCCGUUGAAGCUGGGGAUCUAGAGUGUGCGAGAGGUAUGCGGAAUGCGUGGUGUAGCGGUGAAAUGCAUAGAUAGCACGCAGAACCCCGAUUGCGAAGGCAGCAUACCGGUGCACAACUGACGCUCAGGCACGAAAGCGUGGGUAUCGAACAGGAUUAGAUACCCGGGUAGUC
rnacentral:rRNA from 1 species